UGGGGAAUUUUGGACAAUGGGGGAAACCCUGAUCCAGCCAUCCCGCGUGUGCGAUGAAGGCCUUCGGGUUGUAAAGCACUUUUGGCAGGAAAGAAACGUCGCGGGUUAAUACCCCGCGAAACUGACGGUACCUGCAGAAUAAGCACCGGCUAACUACGUGCCAGCAGCCGCGGUAAUACGUAGGGUGCAAGCGUUAAUCGGAAUUACUGGGCGUAAAGCGUGCGCAGGCGGUUCGGAAAGAAAGAUGUGAAAUCCCAGAGCUUAACUUUGGAACUGCAUUUUUAACUACCGGGCUAGAGUGUGUCAGAGGGAGGUGGAAUUCCGCGUGUAGCAGUGAAAUACGUAGAUAUGCGGAGGAACACCGAUGGCGAAGGCAGCCUCCUGGGAUAACACUGACGCUCAUGCACGAAAGCGUGGGGAGCAAACAGGAUUAGAUACCCUGGUAGUCCACGCCCUAAACGAUGUCAACUAGCUGUUGGGGCCUUCGGGCCUUGGUAGCGCAGCUAACGCGUGAAGUUGACCGCCUGGGGAGUACGGUCGCAAGAUUAAAACUCAAAGG
rnacentral:rRNA from 1 species